GGGCCCGGUAGUGUGUCUGAGAUUGGCUACGGGGCCUACUCUGAUGCACUGACCUUUCGGCUUGACGUCUCUCUCUCUCUCUCUCUCUCUCUCCCCUCGAUCCCAGGAAUCCACAAAGCAGCCGAACUAAUGUCCUGCGCAAUCCGCCACCUGACCUCCCGAACCCCGGUACUCAAAGGACUGACCAAUAAAGGCAGGCCAACCAAACCCCAGUGUUGACAUCCAGAGAGGAGGAGGUCAGGGUGCCUGACACGUCUAUUCUCCUGCUGCUUGGACGCUGCCUGACCUGCUGCGCUUUUCCAGCAACACACCCUCCCUCUCUCUCUCGCCUGAUCUGCAGCCCCCCUGAAUCUCACGUUGGAGCCAGAGGGCGUUGAGUUGGGCCAUUCUCGCCUCCCGGGAACGCCCAGUUUAAGAGUGUCCUUCCUGGAGCCGGGACGCCUCUGACAGACGGGCCUCGCUUUCCCCGGUCGGAUCUUCGGAUCGUGAUUUUUCCCCCCUGGGAUUCCCAUCCAGUCGCCCUCCCACCACUGCCCUCACCGGAAUGACUCGUCCUCAUCUGCGGCCAACUCAUGAUGAUACGCUUCCCGAAAUGGGGGCCAUUUUGAGCUGGAUCGAAUCGAAAUUUCUUGACCCGAGGCCAGGAUGCUCUUGAGGGAUGGCGAGACCGAGCAGAGGAGGAAUGGGCACCGCGCAACAAUCCAACAGACAGGAGGGGUCCCCCCCAGUUGGGGAACGUUUCAGCGGGCCAGCACAUUCGACCCCUGACCUUCGGGUGACCAUCCUCCAAGUGGCCGAGCAGA